GAUCAGGGUGGCGAUGGUCAGUUCUUGAGCUUCGAACUGGCAGAAAGCUAUGCAAAAGGUUCAGGGUGGCUAUCGUCAGUUCUUGAGCUUCGAACGGGCAGAAAGCUAUGCAACAAGAUCAGGGUGGCGAUGGUCGGUUCUUGAGCUUCGAACGGGCAGAAAGG